AAACUAAUCCAACCCCAAACCUCAACUCAAAACGCAUCGUUUUGCCUGAACCCCUCUCCUUUCUUUUCCUCCUCUUUCUUCUUCUCCAGGUCGCCUCUUCCAACACUUAAAAGCUGAAACUAUUUCUGUUUGUGAGCAGAUUGAUGGGUGCCUAAUGCCACCAGAUGGACCAUAUUCAUGGCCAGAAGCAAAUAGCCAAAAACAAUGGAUAGUCUUUUAUAGAAUAGAUGGUAUGACUCUCACUGGAAAAUGAACUAUUGAAGGCAAUGGAGACAAGUGGUGGGAUCUCCCUUGCAAAUCUCACAGGGUCCUAAUGGAGGUUCCUCGAAAGGACCAUGUGACAUCACUGCACUAAUUCAGUUUUUCAUGAGCUCCAAUAAGAUCGGGUGAAAGCGUUGGAAGAGGCCACCUGGAGAAGAGAGAGAGAAAAGGAAAAGAAAGGAGAGGGGUUCAGGCAAAAUAGUGCGUUUUGAGUAGAGGUUUGGAGUUGGAUUAGUUUAACCGAUGUGUCAAUGUGUGGGACCUAUAUUUAUAUUUAUUUAUUAUUUUUUAGACAUUAAUUUUAAAUUAAGGUACAAUUAUU